CUGCCUACUACAUCACUGAAUCCUUGUGAACAAGCCCCUAGGCCCACAGUCUGGCAGACCCCCUCAAUAUCCUCCUCAGAUUUGCCCUGCACUUCUUGUUCCAUGCUUGGGGUCCUAAGAACAAGCCAUCUGAUGCCUCUACUAUCAUUACCUCUAUUGGGACCCAGAAACCAAUACCCCAAAAUAUGGUGCAUGGACAUGCUGAACUGAAGAAGAUGCCUCAAGGGUCAUCCCUAAAGGCAAAAACAGAACUUCCAAAGUAUCUUUCUGUGACAACAUUAGGUUCAGGCUUGAAGUCCCUGAUUUCGCCAUCAAAGUCAGAUCCAGGGGGGACGAUGCUAUUCAGAAACGUGCUGAGAAGAGGACUGCAAUGACUGCUUUCAAAAAACACCAGAAUAAAUACAUACGUAGUGUAAGCAAGCG
rnacentral:lncRNA from 1 species